UAUGUACCCGCGGUCUUUGGGGAGAAGAGGGAAAAAUAAAAUCUUAAAAAAAAUGGAGAAAAUUCAACUUUACAUAAGAAUAUGGAUGUCUGGAUUCUUUUGGAAAAUCUGAAGAUGUGGCACCGUUUUGGUCCACAGCCACACCUGGUGACAAUAAGCUGGGGCCUGGAGCAGCUGUCCCCAGUAGACAGGGCUCUUUCGAAGUUGCCACCUUUCCCUAGCAUAUGACUCUAGGCCAACUUCACUUUCUUAUUUACCAGCCUGGUCCAUAAGAUAGUCCUCAGAUGAGGAGGAAUAUUUGGGACGUGUUAUGCCAACAUUUGAUCUGAAUGAGUUAAACAUGUAAGUGUGAGCUGAGCUAUUUUCUCCAGCCCCACGAAAAGGGAAGGCGAAACUCUUAGUGUGAGGCUUGGGGGGAUUCUGUUGUGUGCACAGUCCUACAACUUGCCUGUGCUCCAGCGGAAAUAGAGUGGGAUCAGAGCUCCAAAUAACCCUAAUGAUGGUGGGUGGGAGCGCGUCACGGAGUUGUUCAAGUUUGUCGGAGCAUAUUAAAAUACAAUACAUUCAUGUCAUCGAAAGGGUACGUCAGUCCACCUGUCUAUACAUUCUUUCUGAUGCUAAACUUGCCUGGUGACUUUUCAAAAUUGUGUCACCUACCUAUCCUCCCAUUCUUAGUGAAUAAAAAUGUGGGAAGAAUGCAGAGCAAAUCAGAAUAAUGCACAUUGGUGAAAGUCCUGUAAUUGAAGUCAUUAUUGCUUAAGACACCAUUGCUUUAAUCAGCCCUAUCAUAAAUCAAUGCUUUUCACGAGUGAAGGUUUAAAAUAAAGUGCUGUUAAACAAAUUGGGCCUCUUAAAAGGCAUGAUGCAAUCAGGAAGCUCCUGAAAAUGGGUAUAAAAGUGGUUUCUGAAUGGAUACACUGGUUCUAGCAUUUUAUCUUCCACUUAAUUUAAAAAAAAAUUAUCUGAUCCUUUCUUAGAAAUUACAUAUUGGAGGUUUAUAAUGGCCAAGGCUUUAGCCCAUUAAAAAAAUUUACUCCCAGGAACAGUUAAUAUUUGACGUUUAAUUGCUUUUUCUUGUUGGAGAGGAAAGUCUGUUUCUUUCCUUCCUUUCUUGAUUGACUUUUCAAAAAUCACCUUGUGAGCUCUAAAAAUGGAGAGGAGUAAUUGAUUUUCAAAAACUCAAGCGCAUGCACAUGUAUUCGCAUACACGUAAGUGUAUAUGUGUGGACAUAAAAAUCUCCGGUGUACCAGGAGCUGGUGUUUCUCUCACAAUAACUCUGCAAGGCAGGUGUUACUAUCUCCAUUUAACAGAGUAGGUGGCAGAGGCCUAGAGAGGUUAAUUGCUUGCAUAAGGAAACGCAGAUCGUAAGCAAUAGCAGGCUGAGUCUUUAUUCCUUUGACCAUGUUGUCUGCCUGUACAUGUGCUUCAUACCCUGGUGUGCAGAUAGCCAUGGAGCCAGGACAAACACCAUACUGAUGGCCCCCAUCAUGGAGUGGCUAAUCCUGGUUAACCAGCAUCAGAUUCCAGAAUUUAGCAAAUAGUGCCGCUUCAUCCACAAAUGUGGAAAGAGCCCAACUAUGAUUUGCACCUUUUGUGUGACUACUCCAUUGUAACUGAGCCAGGAGAAGUCAUUGUACUGCCUCCUAAGAGACAACAACUUAGAAGAGAUUUCUCCUUGGAGGGUUUUGCGUGGAUGAGCGGGGACAUCAGACGUUUUCUUAUUAGAACAAUGCCCAUACAGAUUUCCAGUUAAUUUUGGGGACUCCUUAGGAUUUGUUUCAGAAGAAAGAGGGGGGUCAGCAGGACAUUGAUUUGGAAAGGGUGAGAAAAAAGUCUCUAUUUGGUCACCUCAAAUCAGAAAAUUUCCAUUUCAACAUUGACAAUUCCUCACCUUUUACAUAUAGUAAAUCCACUACCAAAAGCCAGAGUGUUCUCUUCCUUUCUUUUCUUUUCUUUGUGUUUUUUUUUCUCUUCCCACAAAACCAGCUAUUAUUUAAGUCUCUUGCAAAGCUCCAUGAACCAACUGUGCCUCCUCACAUUAUCCCUUUCAGAGCUCAGGUGAUAUGCCUCAUUGGGUUACACCUUCCAUGUUUUGUGGUCAGGUGUGUGGGCUCUGUCAUUCUACAUUAUUCCACCUUGCAAGAAAAUAUUUAUGUAUUAGCCUCACCAGGUCCCAUUUCCUCUGGGAAUGGUCCUGAGUACACUGUCUUCAUGGCAGGCAGUUGAAUCACUGGCCUUCAUGGGACCCCUGGACAUCUGGCAGAAAACCAGGGAACCACUCCUUCCCCUCUGUGCCUUCACUCAGCUGGAAAACUACAAGGUGUGUGGCUGUGGGAUGAGAAGUUUCUGAGAGGCUGAGCACAAUACUUUGAGAAAGUGCUUGGAAGGAAACUGGCUGAUGUUAAGGGAAUGGAAAUUUGCACCAUUCACAGAGUUUUUUUUUUUUCCUAGAUCUGGAAACACAAAAGCUUACUUGUAUACAGUCUUUUUGUUAUUUUUAUUUCUUUUCCUCUUUAUUCCUGGUAAAUAGUAAUUCCCAUUGUUUACCAAGAAGUGGUGAAACUGAUACUCUUAUAUAGCUGUGAUAGGGUACUUUGGCAAAACCCUCUUGGAAACUCAUUUGGCAGUGUGUAUCAAGAGCCAAAAAAAUUUUUGUAAGAUUUGACCAAAUAAUUUUACUCCUGGAAAUCCAUUCUCAGUAGCAAAAAGAUAAUACCCAAGAUGGUCGUCAAACUAUUGUUUACAGUAAUUAGAACUUAAAUACAAACCUAACAAUAUGGGAAAUGAAACUAUAAAAUAUUUUCCUGAUGUUGAUUAUUACGUGAACCAUGUAAUAGUAUCAAAAUAGGAUAUGUACUCUUAAUGAUUACAAAUAUGCAGGCAAGAUAUGCACAAUCAUAAUAAUAGAAAACAUUUAUUAUCUACCUAAUGUAAGAUGGGCAAUGUGUCAGAUGCUUUAUGGUCACUGUCUCCUUUAAUCUGCUCAUCAGAUUAAGCUAGAUUUUCUCAUAUUUCCAUUUUACAGAUGAGGAAAGAGAGUCACGGGGAAGGAUAAUUAGUUUAUCUGAAGUCACACUGUUACUGUGUGAUUCAAACCCCAUCUGGUUGACUACAGAGCUUACACUGUCAACUUGUAAUUCCUCACGAUAUGUGGUAAAUUUUAAAAAAAAACCAGACAUCAAUUAUCAGAAAAAACCCCAAACCUCAAAUUGAAAACAACCCAACACCAACAAACCAAAAUCUGACAAGCUCUACUCUUAAGAUAAUCACAUGAAAAAGUAAAGAGAGAGACUUAGACCAAGAGAAAAUAGCCCAGCUUUAAAAGACGUGUCAUCAACUGGUCAAUAAAAUGACAGAUAGCUAUCCGAAGCAACACUUAAAUGAUUAAGGCCUUUUCUCUGAAUGGGUAUUAGAUACUGUAUGUAUGAUUUUUUCCAAAGAUUGUCCAAUUAAUAUUAUCCUGCCAAUUUAAGGAAGCAAAUCUUAGAAGGAAGCGAAUCUUGCAUGUAAAUGAAAAGGACUUUGUCCAGAGUGACUUGAGAAUUUUCUUGUGGACUGGGGCCUAGGCCAGUGGUUCUAAACUUAUUUUGUGUUCUCACGUAUUUGAAAAUAAUAAUGGCAUCUAUGUGGUCUCUUUCUCUCUCUCUCUCUCUCCAGAAAAACACAUAUAUUAACAUUUGUACAACACUUUGUGGUAUACCCAUUUACUUUUAUUCAGGGAUCUUUGAAAUCUUUUAGGUACAUUGCUGGUUUGAGGAUUUAAAUUAAAUUUCCCUUUCUGUUUUGGCUUGCAGAAUAUUCUUUGUCCCACAGUUCAAGGGCUGUUCUUUUGUUAAUAGUUCAAACACAGAUACAGUUUCUUCAGAGCCUUGUCUACACCUGGAUAAGUAAGGAUGAAAAAAAUGCACAACAUACAUCACCAAGAAAAAAGGUUGUGCCUGGCAGUGUAAUUGAUUCUAUAACAAAGAGAAAAGCUUCGAAAUGAUUGUGCAACGAGAAGACAGAAAUACCACAUUAAGAGGUCAUUGGUCCAUCUUCUCAGGAACAUCCCCUGGGCAGUGGUCUCUGCCUGUGUUACAGAAGAUGGCAAAAAUUGGAGCCCUUGCGCAUCUGGCCAAUUAUGCAAUGCUCUAUUGCAAGGGGAAAUUCCUUCCUCACCCCAGCUGGUGAACAGUUAUGCCCUGAAGCCCACGACGGACAUGCCUUGUAACUUUUUAACCUAGUUAGCGUAACUGCCAAUAUUAUUCCUAUUCAUAUAAAUGUCUAAUCCUUUCUUGAAUCUUGCUAGACUAUUUGCCUCAAUAAUAUCCUGCGGCAGUGAAUUCCACAGGUAGAUUAUACGCUGCUUUAAAAAGUAUUUCCUUUUAUUCAUUUUAAAUUUGUUACCUUUUAACGUCACAAGAUGGCCCUUGUUCUUGCAUUAAGUGGCACAGAAUACAGGCAUUUCCAAUUGAGCUUUAAUUGUUCCAAGCAUCUUCUUUGCCAUUAGUAAAACCACAUCUUCUUCACAUAUUUUCUGUUUUGGCAUGUAUCAUCUUUAAAUGAAGUAAUUGAUGUAAACAGUCUCAUACUACUUUGGACACGUAGUAGACACGGGAUAAAAGCUCUCAUUGAUAUUUAAUGUCAUUGGUUGGACAAAUGUUUAUUGAGCACCUGCUGUGUGUAGGAAUUUUUCUAAGUAUUGGAGAGACAGCUUUGAAUAAGACAGGGUCCUUGUUAUGAAGGACCUAAUUGUCUAGAGAGAGAAGACAAGUAGUAAAAUAGUGAAUAAAGAUAUGAACUACA